AUAAGGAACAACAUUUACAUUCAACCUCAAGCCAUCACCAGCGGCAUUGGGUCCACGGCCUCCUUUGUACAAAGAAGUUCCAAUUGCUAACGGUGAAGUCCAAUCAACCUGAUUAGAAGAUGGUCUUUUGUUGAUUCCUGAAGAACCAGCAGUGGAGCUACCACCUGCAUCAGAGAUUGAAUGAACUGAUUCUAUCUUCUCGGGCUUAGAUCUACCGGAGAAAUCAUCUCCUAACACAGAAUUUUGACCAGAUAACAAGUUCCGUCUCGGGUAGGAAACUCCAGAAUGACUAUUGGACGGCAAACUUGGAAUCUUGUUCAAUUUCGGACUGUUAAAAGAAGCAUCCUUUGCACUCAGAACAUCAGCCGGUAUGAGUGUGCCUGGUGCUCCCAUGAGAUCAACCAAAAACUCGCUAUCAUUCGGUAACUUCACAAUGUUGACAGCAUCAUCUUCAACACCAGUGUAGUGACUCCCUUUAACAAGUCUACAGGGUAUUCCAACAUGGUCAGCUAGUACCUUAAAAAGCAGUGCACGGUGACGUGAAAGCCCAAUUUUUAGGGAUCCGAUUGGCAACACACUGGUGUGAAGUGAUGUCCUCAACUCAGUGCUAAUUUCCAUCCAUUUGGCCAAUAUGAUAUUUGCAUCCUUUACUGGGCCACCUAAAUGCCCAGUUACAAGUUCAGAAAGCCUCAGUACUAACAGACUAAUCUCACUGGCAGGGCAGUCCAAUGUAAUACAGUGUGCAAUCUGCAUCAACUCUUCCAAGGAGGGGUCAAUUCUCUGAUUAAUUAUCACGCCUUCAAAGUUAGAAGUCCCAGGAUUUGUUUCAAGUUCAGAAAGAG
rnacentral:misc_RNA from 1 species